UAGCUCAGUCAGUUAGAGCGUGGUGCUCAUAACGCCAAGGUCCUGGGUUCGAUCCCCG
rnacentral:tRNA from 1 species